UACGUAGGUGGCAAGCGUUAUCCGGAUUUAUUGGGCGUAGAGGGAACGCAGGCGGUCUUUUAAGUCUGAUGUGAAAGCCUUCGGCUUAACCGGAGUAGUGCAUUGGAAACUGGGAGACUUGAGUGCAGAAGAGGAGAGUGGAACUCCAUGUGUAGCGGUGAAAUGCGUAGAUAUAUGGAAGAACACCAGUGGCGAAAGCGGCUCUCUGGUCCGUAACUGACGCUGAGGUUCGAAAGCGUGGGUAGCAAACAGG
rnacentral:rRNA from 1 species